GUGCUUGCUUCUGCAGCACAUGUACUAAAAUUGGAAUGAUACAAAGAUUAGCAUGGCCUCUGUGCAAGGAUGACAUGCAUAUUUGUGAAGCAUUUCAUAUUAAA